rnacentral:rRNA from 1 species
GAUGAACGCUGGCGGCGUGCCUAACACAUGCAAGUCGAGCGGCAGCGAGGGGUGCUUGCCCCCUGCCGGCGAGCGGCGGACGGCUGAGUAACGCGUGGGAACGUGCCCCAAAGUGAGGAAUAACUGCCCGAAAGGGUAGCUAAUACCGCAUAUUAUCUUCGGAUCAAAGGAUUUAUCCGCUUUGGGAGCGGCUCGCGUCGGAUUAGGUAGUUGGUGAGGUAAUGGCUCACCAAGCCGACGAUCCGUAGCUGGUCUGAGAGGAUGACCAGCCAGACUGGAACUGAGACACGGUCCAGACUCCUACGGAAGACAACAGUGAGGAAUCUUCCACAAUGGGCGAAAGCCUGAUGGAGCAACGCCGCGUGCAGGACGAAGGCCUUCGGGUUGUAAACUGCUUUUAUAAGUUAGGAAUAUGACGAUAACUUAUUAAUAAGGAUCGGCUAACUACGUG